rnacentral:rRNA from 1 species
GAUGAACGCUAGCGAUAGGCCUAACACAUGCAAGUCGAGGGGCAUCACAUGAAGUAGCAAUACGGAUGGUGGCGACCGGCGCACGGGUGAGUAACACGUAUGCAACCUGCCUUCAACAAGGGGAUAACCCGUUGAAAGACGGACUAAUACCCUAUAAUACAGGGGUCCCGCAUGGGGAUAUUUGUUAAAGAUUGAUCGGUUGAAGAUGGGCAUGCGUUCCAUUAGCUGGUUGGUGAGGUAACGGCUCACCAAGGCAACGAUGGAUAGGGGAACUGAGAGGUUUAUCCCCCACACUGGUACUGAGACACGGACCAGACUCCUACGGGAGGCAGCAGUGAGGAAUAUUGGUCAAUGGACGCAAGUCUGAACCAGCCACGUCGCGUGAAGGAAGACGGCCCUACGGGUUGUAAACUUCUUUUGUAAGGGAAUAAAGUGUAGUACGCGUACUAUUUUGCAUGUACCUUACGAAUAAGGAUCGGCUAACUCCGUGCCAGCAGCCGCGGUAA